CGAAACCACAAAUGUUGCUCUUUUCUGCCGUCUUUUUUUUUUGCGGUUCUAAAACUUUUUUUUGCGAGUUGAAAAGUUUUGCUUGCGAGUUAAGCUGUCUCUCAGUGGGCAGUCUCUACCCACCAGGAUGAAAGGCCUUUUCCUAUUGGUCACUCUCGAUUGAAGUCACAGGUUGACCACGCCCACUCAGUUUACCCGGAAUCCGCUGCACUGCCGCCGCAGUCUGACAGAAGAGCGAGCGAGGGUGCAUCAUGACGAGCAACAGGUCGUGUACUGGGAAGAUUUGGUGUUGAUGGAGGGGGCAACAUCUUCAAGGCAAAACCUUAGACCUGAUGCAACAUCAUCCAGUGUCAAAAUCACCCUUUAGGAGGCACUUGAAGACCAGUGCCCAAUAUGCACAGGAACAUUUCCAGUGUCAGAAGUAGACCUGCCAUGCCAGCUUUUGUGGAGACAGUGAGGAGGAUGUGAUUCGUCAUGCAGCAGCACAGAUAAACACCACAAAGACAUCUGAAGUCUGUCACGAGAUAACACGUCUGAAGUUGUGGAAACAUAAAAAACCAGGAAUUCCAGUCAAUCCCCUGAAAAUCACCUUCCUUGGAGAGCCUGUAAAAAUAAAUAAAUAAAAUUAUAUGUAUAUAAAGCUAAAAACAAUAAAGCAAAAUGUACAGCUCCAUUA